GAUGGCGUCCCCGGCGUACGAGCUCUGCCGCCACUGCGGCAGCACCGCGGCCGCCAGCGCCGACACCCACCCGGCCAGCGCCGCCAGUGGCCCAGGGGGUGUUCCCAGGGGACAGGGCCAGCAGGAAGGAGCUGCACGUGGAUCCUCGGAGCUGAGCUACUCACGGUCUGUGUCUUGGCAUCCAGCUCAGUGAAGUAGAAAGCUCCUCCUUCAAAGUCUCCAUUGAGAUAAAGGAUGGCACUAAAAAGGGAGCAGGGGACGAGUGGAGGUAACUAACAACCCUGACCACAGCUCCAGCAAGCAGGUGAGCCCAGAGCUCCCCCAACACCCACAGCAAGAGCCUGAGGCAGGAGAGCCCAGGUUUGGUGUCCUCCCACCUGGCUCCUCCCAGCCUAGGUGCCACCAAGCUGUGGUACUCUCAGCUGACAGCCACCACCAGUACCUGUAAUCCCGGAAUGUGUAGGCUGGGGGUUCCUUCACGCACACCAGAGCCUCUGCAUUGAGGAUGCAGUUGUCCACGUGCACCUCGUGGCUGUUGUCACUCCGACCUUCUUGCUUCUCUAGGGUGGAACGAGACCUGAGAUAUCAGGACCCCUCUGUCUGUGCAAGAGCAGGGUCUGUCCCCAAGCAUCCCAGGCUUGGAGGUGACAAGAAAGUGGUGUGCAGCCUAAAGCACUUAACUUGCUGGAGUGUGGACCAUGCGAGGCCAUUCGGGUGGCACAAGCCUCUCCCAGCUUGUCCCGUGGCAUUUCCUGGCCUUCCAGGCACAGCCUCUCCCAGCACCCAUCCCAAAUGCCUCUGGGUGCUGAAAUCCUAUAUGGCAUGAAGCCAUCUGCCCCACUGGAGGCAACCAAGAGAGCUGCUGCUCAUCUUCCUGAGCUGGGCUUUAAGGGACAAGCUUCCCACACCCUCCCAGGUGGAGGAGACAGUUAGGGAGCAGCAAGGAGGUCUCCAAGGAAAGGUCCAAGACCAGACCAAUUCCAGCUGUUGGAGGGGACCUGACAGGAGCAGACCCGCUCCUCUGGGCCGUGCUCACCGUCGAUGGCUGUGCGGCACACGAGGUGGGAGUAGGAGAAGUGGAGCGGAGCCUCCAGGCGGAAAUAGGACUCCAUCAUGCGCCGCACCUUCUCCGUCACGUUGUAGUACAGGUGGGCACUGCGCAGGGGCACCUUGCCCUCCUGGCCCAGCUACAGGGGGACAGGCAGCACAGGGGCUCAGCCCCAGGUGGCCACGGGGCCUGCCCCCAAACUCCCACCUCUUGCCCCCACAGCCCGUUUCUCCCCGCAUCCACCCCAACCUUGAGGGCCUUGAGGACGGUCACGCCGUAGAAGGUCUCGCUGGGGGUGUGAGGAGAGGUCUUCCCCCGAUAGCCGUCCCCAGCUGAGGCAGCUGCCUGCAAAACCCCAUGGGUGUUACUGGUCUGAGCUGCAACCCCUGCCCGCCCCCCCCGUCCCCACGCUCACGUUAGUGAGUCUCUGCAGCUCCCGACACUCCUCGGCAGAGAGGACUCCAUCCACCACCACACGCUGGGAGCCGUUCAGGGCCCUGGAGUUCAUGGUGACACUGGCUCCUUCGUACCCCAAGGGGCCACCUGGGGCACAAACGGGAUUGGGGGACAUGGGGAUGAGCACCACCAACCCUGGGGGAAGCUGUGGUCCUGCCACCUGCUCCUGCUGCCACCCACGUAUGGAGGGACUGGCAGCAGGGGUCACGGAGGUCCCCAUCCCGCCUCCCCUGCUCUGCACCUUCUCGGAUGAACUUGCUCAUGUCAGCAGACUCCUUGGCCUUCUCCUCCACCAGCGUCUCGAUCUCCUUCAUGAGGUUGCCAAUCUCCUCCGAGAUGCGUGCCGCCGUCUCCCGCUCUGCCCUGGGCACGUGGUAGCCAUCAGCCCCACCAUCCCACUGUCCCCACCACGUCAGGAAUGAGAGGCACCAACAAAAGGGCAGGACAAGUUGUCUCAGGGGCUGGUGACAAAGCCCAAGACUGGAGAGAGUCACUCCAAUGCAUCCCUCACCCUGUGGUGCUUGGGGUGCCCAUCAUCCCAUGGGCUGAUGGGAAGCAAAGUUCUGCCCUCCAGCAGCUUUUUCCAUCCCCAAUAUCAACACCUUCCCUGGCAGCAACUCUGUGCCAUGGCCUUUGGCCCAAACCCCCCAGAGGAAGAGGGGUAUGUCCUGUUGGACCCCUACCAGGGACAGCACUCACUUCUGUUUCUCUCGCAGCCUUUUCGGUAUCACCUCUUCAGGUGUCCACGUGUCCUGCAGCCAGAAGAACAGCAUCAGGAGCUGGACAAGGAUCUGGCCAGGAUGCAGAUCCCCUCAUCCACAUUCCACCUGGCCACCGUGUCCCCUUGGUCUCACACCACCCACCGGGUCCACGAAAGGGAUGCCGAAGACAUCGUAGCUGAAGAAGAGCAGCUCCUUCUCCAUCAGGCUCUGCUGGCGGUACACCCGGAUCUCCUGUGGCAAGGGGGCACAGGGAAGGGGUGAGGUACAGCACGAGGGCUCUAAAGGACCCUGAGUAUGGGCAGGAAGGUGCAGGUUUACACCAUUCCUGUGGUCCUUGCUCCAGACCUAUAGCCCUGGUUUCCUGUUCCCUCUGGCAGCUGGGAAGGAAGUGGCUUUCCCCAUCCUGCCUCAAUUUCCCUGUCCUGUGUGGAUGACUCAGGAGAGGACAGUCCAGCAGAGCCUGGACAUGUCCCUCCUGCAGGAAGCUCUUUAGGAGCAGAUCCCCUUCCCUACUCCAGCUGGUGUGGGGCAGAGACCUCCAUUCCUGCCUACCACAUCCCAGGCAGGAACUGGUCAUCCAGAUCCAGCUAUUUUGAAGCCAAAUCCUCUCCUUCUUAAGCAAUUUCACUUCAGUUGUGGAAGAGUGCAGCAGAGGUGCGCUCAGACCCUCCUAAAAGGUCUGUCCACCUGCCUCUCCCUGAGGAGUGGGUCCAUGUGUGCCAAUCAUCCAGCUUCACGUGGCCAAAGAUAUUUUGCCAGUGAUGAUUUUCAGUCUCUCAGCUAUUUUCCAGCUUGUUGAACCCUAAAACCAUCCAUUACUGUCCACCUUGGGUGGCUGGACCAGAGAAGAGCCCAUAACUUCUGCAAAGGUCCCCAAGGAGGAGAGAAGAUGUCUCAGCUGAUUGCUCACCUCUCGGGGUUGGAUGGGUCUCGCCAGGUUCUCCCCCAGGACAGCAGUGUAAUAGGCCAAAUUCUGGUUCAUCACCUCAUCAUGUGGGAAGAAGAGCAAAUAGGUUUUGGCGCAUUCGAUGGCUUUUUCAUAAUUCCCAUCUGCAAAGAGAAAGUGGGGCUGUUUAACAGCAUGUCCAAGGGCACUGGAGGCAGAGCAAACAUGGAUAUGGAAGAGAGAUGAGAGACAAAAUCCUUGUCGUCCUGCAAAGAGUCUCACAAGCAGGGCGGAUCCCCUGGAGCAAGGAUAACUGUUGCCACAAAGGCAAAAUUCAGAAUCCAAGGUGCUCUCCUGCCUCCAGAAACCAGGGUCACAGGUUGAGUACUUUUCUUGCUUGGAAGAAUUCCUGAGGCCCCUUUCCAGGUAGUCAGACCCAACCAUUCCUUGCUAACCUGCAAUUUCCAGCCACUGAAGCACCCUGCCCCACUUUUGUGCAGCCUUUCACAGAAUCACACAAUCACAAACUGGGGAAGGAAAGGAAGGGACCACACGGGGUCAUCUGGUCCAACCUCCCUGCUUCAGCAUCCUGGCACAGGAUUGCAUCCAGAUGGUUCUGGAAUAUCUCCAGCGAGGGAGACCCCACACCCUCUCUGGGCAAUCUGUCCCAGCACGUGGUCACCUGCACAGUGAAGUUCUUCCUCAUAUCCAGGUGAAACUCCCUGUGCAUCAGUUCCUGCCCGCUGCCUCUUGUCCUAUUGCUCAGCACCACCGAGCAGAGCCUGGUCCAUCCUCUGACACCCACCCUGCAGAUACU